GAAAAGGCAGCCUCCAGUAUACAAUAACGUUAUUUUUAGUUUCAUAAAAUGUCCCUGAAUUCACGAAUAUGUAGGAUAU